CGAGGGGUACGAUGGUGCUGCACCAGGCGACGACCGGCGGACGGGUGAGUAACACGUAUGCAAUUUGCCUUUAACUGGAGGAUAGCUUCGGGAAACCGUAAUUAAUACUCCAUAGUAUUCAAAAGACGCAUGCUUUUUGAAUUAAAGCUCCGGCGGUUAAAGAUAAGCAUGCGGGACAUUAGCUAGUUGGUAAGGUAACGGCUUACCAAGGCGACGAUGUCUAGGGGGUUUGAGAGGAUGAUCCCCCACACUGGUACUGAGACACGGACCAGACUCCUACGGGAGGCAGCAGUGAGGAAUAUUGGGCAAUGGGCGCAAGCCUGACCCAGCCAUGCCGCGUGCAGGAUGAAGGUCCUAUGGAUCGUAAACUGCUUUUGUAUGGGAAGAACUUCCCGCAUUCGUGCGGGAUUGACGGUACUAUACGAAUAAGGACCGGCUAACUCCGUGCCAGCAGCCGCGGUAAUACGGAGGGUCCAAGCGUUAUCCGGAUUCACUGGGUUUAAAGGGUGCCGUAGGUGGAACGAUAAGUCGAUGGUGCAAGCCUACAGCUUAACUGUAGAAUUGCCAUUGAUACUGUUGUUCUUGAGUAUAGUCGGGGGAAGUGGAAUGCGUAAUGUAGCGGUGAAAUGCAUAGAUAUUACGCAGAACACCGAUCGCGAAAGCAGCUUCCUAGGCUAUUACUGACACUGAGGCACGAAAGCGUGGGGAGCGAACAGGAUUAGAUACCCUGGUAGUCCACCCCGUAAACGAUGCUCACUCGCCGUUGGCGAUAUAUUGUCAGCAUUUAAGCUAAAGCAUUAAGUGAGCCACCUGGGAAGUACGUCCGCAAGGGUGAAACUCAAAGGAAUUGACGGGGGCCCGCACAACCGGUGGAACAUGUGGUUCAAUUCGAUGAUACGCGAGGAACCUUACCUGGGCUUAAAUGUAGUUUGACUUCCGCCGAAAGGCGGUUUUCCUUCGGGACAAAUUAACAAGGUGCUGCACGUCUGUCGUCAGCUCGUGCCGUGAGGUAUCGGGUUAAGUCCCUUAACGAGCGCAACCCCUAUUGUUAGUUACCAACAGGUUAAAGCUGGGGACUCUAGCAAAACUGCCAGCGUAAGCUGGAGGAAGGUGGGGAUGACGUCAAGUCAGCAUGG
rnacentral:rRNA from 1 species